AGAUGUGCCAGAACAAGAAAUGAUCGACCGCCAAGACCGAGUAGAAGAUGUGCCAGAACAAGAAAUUAUCGACCGACAAGACCGAGUAGAAGAUGUGCCAGAACAAGAAAUGAUCGACCGACAAGACCGAGUAGAAG